UGAACGCUGGCGGCGUGCUUAACACAUGCAAGUCGAACGAAGCAAUCUAACGGAAGUUUUCGGAUGGAAGUUAAAUUGACUGAGUGGCGGACGGGUGAGUAACGCGUGGGUAACCUGCCUCACACUGGGGGACAACAGUUAGAAAUGACUGCUAAUACCGCAUAAGCGCACAGGACCGCAUGGUCCGAUGUGAAAACAACCGGUGGUGUGAGAUGGACCCGCGUUUGAUUAGCUAGUUGGUGGGGUAACGGCCUACCAAGGCGACGAUCAAUAGCCGACCUGAGAGGGUGACCGGCCACAUUGGGACUGAGACACGGCCCAAACUCCUACGGGAGGCAGCAGUGGGGAAUAUUGCACAAUGGGGGAAACCCUGAUGCAGCGACGCCGCGUGAGUGAAGAAGUAUUUCGGUAUGUAAAGCUCUAUCAGCAGGGAAGAAAAUGACGGUACCUGACUAAGAAGCCCCGGCUAACUACGUGCCAGCAGCCGCGGUAAUACGUAGGGGGCAAGCGUUAUCCGGAUUUACUGGGUGUAAAGGGAGCGUAGACGGUAAAGCAAGUCUGAAGUGAAAGCCCGGGGCUCAACCCCGGGACUGCUUUGGAAACUGUUUAACUAGAGUGCUGGAGAGGUAAGCGGAAUUCCUAGUGUAGUGGUGAAAUGCGUAGAUAUUAGGAGGAACACCUGUCUCGAACUCGGCUUACUGGACAGUAACUGACGUUGAGGCUCGAUAGCGUGGGGAGCAAACAGGAUUAGAUACCCUGGUAGUCCCACGCCGUAAACGAUGAAUACUAGGUGUUGGGGGACAAAGUCCUUCGGUGCCCGUCGCAAACGCAAUAAGUAUUCCACCUGGGGAGUACGUUCGCAAGAAUGAAACUCAAAGGAAUUGACGGGAACUCCGCACAAGCGGUGGAGCAUGUGGUUUAAUUCGAAGCAACGCGAAGAACCUUACCAAAUCUUGACAUCCCUCUGACCGGCGAGUAAUGUCGCCUUUCCUUCGGGACAGAGGAGACAGGUGGUGCAUGGUUGUCGUCAGCUCGUGUCGUGAGAUGUUGGGUUAAGUCCCGCAACGAGCGCAACCCUUAUCCUAAGUAGCCAGCAGUUCGGCUGGGCACUCUUGGGAGACUGCCAGGGAUAACCUGGAGGAAGGUGGGGAUGACGUCAAAUCAUCAUGCCCCUUAUGAUUUGGGCUACACACGUGCUACAAUGGCGUAAACAAAGAGAAGCGAGACCGCGAGGUGGAGCAAAUCUCAAAAAUAACGUCUCAGUUCGGACUGCAGGCUGCAACUCGCCUGCACGAAGCUGGAAUCGCUAGUAAUCGCGAAUCAGAAUGUCGCGGUGAAUACGUUCCCGGGUCUUGUACACACCGCCCGUCACACCAUGGGAGUCAGUAAUGCCCGAAGUCAGUGACCCAACCGUAAGGAGGGAGUUGCCGAAGGCAGGACCGAUAACUGGGGUGAAGUC
rnacentral:rRNA from 1 species